GACGAACGCUGGCGGCGUGCCUAACACAUGCAAGUCGAACGAGAAUCUUUGAACAGAUCUUUUCGGAGUGACGUUCAAAGAGGAAAGUGGCGGACGGGCGAGUAACGCGUGAGUAACCUGCCCAUAAGAGGGGGAUAAUCCAUGGAAACGUGGACUAAUACCGCAUAUUGUAGUUAAGUUGCAUGACUUGAUUAUGAAAGAUUUAUCGCUUAUGGAUGGACUCGCGUCAGAUUAGAUAGUUGGUGAGGUAACGGCUCACCAAGUCAACGAUCUGUAGCCGAACUGAGAGGUUGAUCGGCCGCAUUGGGACUGAGACACGGCCCAGACUCCUACGGGAGGCAGCAGUGGGGAAUAUUGCGCAAUGGGGGCAACCCUGACGCAGCAACGCCGCGUGCAGGAAGAAGGUCUUCGGAUUGUAAACUGUUGUCGCAAGGGAAGAAGACAGUGACGGUACCUUGUGAGAAAGUCACGGCUAACUACGUG
rnacentral:rRNA from 1 species